ACCUUGUUAGUUUAUAUUUGUAAAAUGUGACUUUGAAGAAGUUGAGAAGUGGUGAGGUG
rnacentral:tRNA from 2 species